rnacentral:piRNA from 1 species
UGACGUCAACUCGGCCGAUGGGCUG